rnacentral:snRNA from 1 species
AUCGCUUCUCGGCCUUUUGGCUAAGAUCAAGCGUAGUAUCUGUUCUUAUCAGUUUAAAAGCUAUAUUCAUCUUAUCUUUUUCUUUUCAGGAUAUGGUAACUCAG